rnacentral:misc_RNA from 1 species
UUUCCGUAGGUGAACCUGCGGAAGGAUCAUUAUUGAAUCAAACACUUCUGGCUUUAUGCUGUUGUGCUGGUCCUUUGGGCAAUGUGCACACGGCUCUGGUCACUUGUUUCUUCUGUUUUACCUGUGUACGGCCUGUAGAGACGCUGUGUCUUUGAUAUUUGUUAACACGCAACAAUGUUAGUUGGCAUGUUAUAUAUAAUAAUAAAAUAUACAACUUUCAACAACGGAUCUCUUGGCUCUC